AACGAACGCUGGCGGCAUGCCUAACACAUGCAAGUCGAACGAGACCUUCGGGUCUAGUGGCGCACGGGUGCGUAUCGCGUGGGAACCUGCCCUUAGGUUCGGAAUAACUCCCCGAAAGGGGUGCUAAUACCGGAUAAUGUCUUCGGACCAAAGAUUUAUCGCCUUUGGAUGGGCCCGCGUUGGAUUAGCUAGUUGGUAGGGUAAAAGCCUACCAAGGCGACGAUCCAUAGCUGGUCUGAGAGGAUGAUCAGCCACACUGGGACUGAGACACGGCCCAGACUCCUACGGGAGGCAGCAGUGGGGAAUAUUGGACAAUGGGCGAAAGCCUGAUCCAGCAAUGCCGCGUGAGUGAUGAAGGCCUUAGGGUUGUAAAGCUCUUUUACCCGGGAUGAUAAUGACAGUCCCGGGAGAAUAAGCUCCGGCUAACUCCGUG
rnacentral:rRNA from 1 species